rnacentral:lncRNA from 1 species
GCGGCAGGCUGCAAGGCUCCAGCCUGGGCGUCAGGGAAGCGGCGGCACCAGCGGCCGGGACUCGCGGCGGCGGCGGCGGCGGCCGCUGCGCCCCAUGUUGGUGGAUUUCCCAGGAUGCACCUCCCGCCCCCCUCCGCCCCGCGGCCUCGCCCCGCCUCCCCUCGGCGCCCCGCGCUCCCAGCUCAUGAGCUGGGCGGGCGCAGGCGAGGCCUCCGCCGCUACCGGUCGGCUCUGGAGGGGCAGCCACGGCUAAGGAGGCGAAGUCUGACGACCCGGCCGACCCCGGGGACUCGGAGAGCACCCGGCAGCCGAAGCCCGCGGACCGCGGACGUCUGCCCGGAGGGGAGCUGUCCGCUCUCGCUGCGCCCGCGUGGGAAGGGGCCGCGCUUCCCGAUCGCCCCACCGAGGGAGGGGACAGUGAGCGGAAACGCAGCCUAGGGUGCCGCAAAGCGGGAGGCUUGUCAGCGCUUUGCCUGGAGUUCAUUACUUGACCCUUCGGAUUAUUUUGAGGGACUCAGAGACACUCAGUCUCCAUAUCGCUAUUUCUUUCUCUGCGCCCCAAACCAGAAACAGCUGAACGGGCUGUUUUACAGUUCCGUUUACUCCCUUCCUGCCCAAAGCUUGCUGGGCAAAAGGACCCUUUUCCUACUGCUAAAGGAGAUUUAUAUUCAAAGAAAUUCAAAUUCAAACGUAUUACUUUCCAAUCCUCGCUGAAAGGGCCUUUCCCAGGAGUUCUUAUUAACUGUCCCCAUCCCCCAACUUGGGGAUUUUCCCACUCUGGAUUUUUGAAUCUUUGUAUUCCAAAAUAAAUACUGGCUCUUCGUUGAUCAAUCCAACUACCAUCUGGAUGACUUUUAUAACAAUAAGUCUAACUCAGUAUGCAAUGUGUGUUGGUUUUUUUGUUUUUGUUUUGUUUUGUUUUUUUGGUCGAGAUUCGGAACCUCUUCAGGACUCUACCCAAACAUUUCUUAUCUGACUUCCAAGUUGUUGGUGUGGAGUGAUUUUAAUGACUACUUGAGGUUUUUCUGUUGUCUAUCAGUUGUGUUUCUUCUCACGAGGAGUGAAAUUAAGAGAUCAGAGAAAUCACUUGGCCCUUCAGCCUUUAAGUGAAAGUUAAAAUAACGGUGAAGUUAUAUUUAAUGACCACCUUUUAAAAAUCAAUAUUGGUUUAACACCUAUUACAUGCUUAGCACAGCAAUCUAUCCCUCAAGAUAAGCCUAAGGUAAAGGUUUUUAAGCAAAUCUAGACAGGCGUAGAGGAAGACCUGAUAAUCUUGAUACACUAUCUCUAAUGAACAUUUAAAAAGGUGUUUUAAAUUUAAGGACUACCUGGUACAGAGUCUACUAAUCCUUCUGAGAUUAAUUUUGUCCUGGGAGAUUCUGUUUUCCUCCUGGUGCCUACAUCCUUUUGUUCCUAUUCAUUCUUUAUUGUAUACCCUUUUGCACCUGCGAAGCUUGGAGCCAGGUCCUGGGGUGGGGAAGGAAAGUUAAGUAGUCUUAUUUACAAAUGAAUUCAAGCUGUGGACAAAACUGACCUUGCAAUUUUAAGUUAAUUACAGUUUGCAUUUACUUAAGAUAACUUUGAAAGUGAUUUUCAUUGGGGAAGGAAUUUGCCAAAUGUAAGAUCCUACAGAGAAGUAACAUAAAUUUCCAUUACAUUUUUUUUUCUUCCUGCAUACUGGAAAUGUGGAAUCUAAAUACAAUAAGUUUUCCAAAUAACUUUUAUAUUUUUAACUACUUUUGUGAGUUUUAAGUUUCGUUUCUGGGGCUGGGGAUGUGGCUCAAGCGGUAGCGCGCUCGCCUGGCAUGCGUGCGGCCCGGGUUCUAAUUCUCAGCACCACAUACAAACAAAGAUGUUGUGUCCACCGAAAACUAAAAAAUAAAUAUUAAAAAAUUCUCUCUCUCUCUCAAAAUAAAUAAAUAAAGUUUCGUUUCUGUGGGAAGGCUAAGAAAUGAAUGUGGCAUACUAUAAAUGUUUUAUGGCACUUAGUUUGAGACCAUAACUGGUACUCAAAGUGAGUUAUGGGGAGCAGGGCGUGGUAGCCCAUGCCUGUAAUCCCACCCACCCAGGAGGCUGAGGCAGGAGGAUUGCAAGUUUGAGGCCAACCCAGGCAAUUUAGUAAGACCCUGUCUCAAAAGUUCUUAAAAUGGCUGGGAAUGUAGCUCAGUGGUACAGCACCCCUGGGUUCAAUUCCCAGAACCUCAAAAAAAAAAAGGUGAGUUAUGCUAGCAACAGCAAACAAGUGGCAAUAAAACCUUUGUCAUCUCUUACACCAUUAUUAGUUUAUGCCACAUUGAUCAAAGAACAGAUAUUAAGGGAAAACUUUUGUAUUUUUAUUUAUUUUGGUACCAAAGACUGAAUCCAGGGGCACUUAACCCCUGAGCCUCAUCCCAGCCCUUUUUAUUUUUAACUUUGAGACAGGGUCUCACUAAGUUGCUUAAGGCCUUGUUAAUUUACUGAGGCUGCCCUUGAAAUUGUGAUUCUCCUGCCUCAGCCUCCUUAGCCUCUGGGAUUACAGAAGUGCUCCACUGUGCCCAAAUGAGUAUAGUUUUAAAUAAUAUAUCCUGUUGUCAGAUGUUCCUUUGCCCUUCAAAUGAAAUUUUCUUAGUUUAUCCUAAAGUCAAAUGUUGCAGCAUGUUUAUGAUUAGCAUCAUUAAAUCAUUUAACUUAACAUUUUUUAAUUGAUGAGUCAUAAUUGUAUAAUUUUAUGGGAUAUAAUGUAAUGUUUUGGUAUAUGUAAAUAAAUAUUUUUCCCUACUGAAAAUAUAUUCCCAACUCUGCAUUUUCCAUGAUCUGUUUUAU